UACGGAGGGUGCAAGCGUUAUCCGGAUUCACUGGGUUUAAAGGGUGCGUAGGUGGGUCUGUAAGUCCGUGGUGAAAUCUCCGAGCUUAACUUGGAAACUGCCAUGGAUACUAUAGGUCUUGAAUACUGUGGAGGUCAGCGGAAUAUGUCAUGUAGCGGUGAAGUGCUUAGAUAUGACAUAGAACACCAAUUGCGAAGGCAGCUGGCUACACAAAUAUUGACACUGAUGCACGAAAGCGUGGGGAUCAAACAGG
rnacentral:rRNA from 1 species